AACGAACGCUGGCGGCAGGCCUAACACAUGCAAGUCGAACGCUCGUAGCAAUACGAGAGUGGCAGACGGGUGAGUAACACGUGGGAACCUUCCCUAUGGUUCGGAAUAGCCCAGGGAAACUUGGGGUAAUACCGGAUAAGCCCUUCGGGGAAAGAUUUAUCGCCAUUGGAUGGGCCCGCGUCGGAUUAGCUAGUUGGUGAGGUAACGGCUCACCAAGGCGACGAUCCGUAGCUGGUCUGAGAGGAUGAUCAGCCACACUGGGACCGAGACACGGCCCAGACUCCUACGGGAGGCAGCAGUGGGGAAUAUUGGACAAUGGGCGCAAGCCUGAUCCAGCCAUGCCGCGUGAGUGACGAAGGCCUUAGGGUUGUAAAGCUCUUUUGGCGGGAAGAUAAUGACGGUACCCGCAGAAUAAGCU
rnacentral:rRNA from 1 species